rnacentral:lncRNA from 1 species
UCCUGUUUGCUAUUGUUUUUUGUGGAUGUAUGUCUGUGUCUUUGCACUGAAGGAUUGGUUAUGUAUUCGUCUUCCUUGUCUGACUUGUUUAGGUUUUUACUGGAUAUAUUUGCUUAGAGGUUGUUUAUUGCCACGCCAUUGCCUCCUUUUCAGUUCUAGAUGGCACCUUAAUCCCAGGUUCACCUCAGUUCUAAUAAACAAUCAGAGUGCUGCCCUUUGCUAAUGGGAGAGGUCCAAAAGGGGAUGUCCCAGCAAUGUAGGAAGUCUAGUUAGGGGAUCAUGCCCAGGGGACAUGUGGGACAAAUUUCUGACAGUGUUGUGCUGCUGAAUAGCCAAUCUGAUUUGGCAUCUCCUUUGGCUGAGUGACACAGCAGAGUUUCCAGGGCUGGGGAUGGUAGACAUCGCUAAGCUCCUUUUGAAAAGUCUGCCCACCAAUACUUCACCAGGGCUUGAAUCAUUUUAUCAACUCCAUGAUGUAAGGAUGACUUAUCAAGAAACUUUCACACAGCACAGGUAUGCACAACAGAGUUGAAGAGCUUGAAAUGCAGAGAGUACAUCUUGGAUCUGAGAGUACCCUUGAGCUCCGUGUUCAGCAAGAAAGCAGUGAGCGCCAUGGGCUCUGUGGUACUGGCAUCAGGUUACUCACCUGUCUUGGAGCUUAUCAACGAUCUACUUUACAUCUCAUAUUUGAUACCAGAAACUGCUAAAAAUAAAAUCAGAUCAAGUAAAACAGGAAUAAAGGGGUUUAUUGUGCCUACGGCAUCAGGUUACUCACCUGCCUUGGAGCUUAUCAAGGAUCUAGUUUACAUCUCAUAUUUGACACCAGAAACUGUUAAAAAUAAAAUAAAUAAAUAAAUAAAUAAAUAAAAAUAAAAAAUGAGAAAAUAAAGUCAGAUCAAGUAAAACAGGAAGAUAGGAGUUUAUUGUGCCUACCAAAGAACAUUUCAAAAACCAAGAGAUUUCAAACUGAACGUGUUAAGAAGCUCAUCUCACAAGUGUUACAGCACAGCUUAUAGGUUUAUAGCAUCUGUGAGAAAGACAUUGAACUCUAUUGUAAUUGGCUACGAUAAAUUUGUACCCCUUUUAGGGCACAUAGAGCUGUAGGAGCUUAUUUUUCUGUAGCUGAUUGACUCAACUUUAUCAUACUGACAUGGAAGAAAGGCUUAUGGUUUGUUUACGGUUAGAGCUUGCAUUUCAGAGAGAUCAACAUAGCUCACAUUUUGUUAUGGUUAUGGUUGGUUGUUCUGAGUGUAUAUCCAAACUGUGGCCUUCGUUUUCAAUUUUUUUUUAACAUCCCUUAACAAUGAGAUGCCAUGCAGAGAGAGAAAGAGAGAGGCCAAGGAGCAGUGAGGUGCCAGAUUUGUGAGGGACCCUUCUUGGAGCUUUCAGGCAAGGCAAGCCUCCAGCUGAGUACCACACAGUGAUCCAGUUGAUGCCACUUGGAGCAGAAAAACUGCCCAGCUAAGGUCUGCCCAAACUUCUGGCCCACGUAACUGUGAGGUAUAAUAAAAUUGCUGUUGUUGUAAGCCACUAAGCUUUGGGGUAGCUUAUGUCACCACAGUAAAUAAUCCAAACAUUCUCCUCUAAACUUAGAUUGUCUAUAGGAUUAAUGUGACAAGUAAUAAGUUAUAGCCUUGUGACUUGACCUCCACUGUUGGCUUAAAUUUCAAUUUAAAUAUUUUAUUGUUAUUCAGUUUGUUGUAUGAGUACAUCUUCUGUCCCAGUGAGAUUACAAUACUUUUUUAUUACCUACAAAUAGUCUUAUAUAUAGUAUUUUUGGUGAACUCUGCUUUUAUUCUUUAGAAAAUUAGUAUAGGAAAAACUCACCUUUUUUUAACCGAAAUUUGUGUUGUGUUUAUAUAAUGCUACAAACAUCUUUAUUUAUUUUUCCUUUUAGUAUAUGAGCCAUCAUUGAAUAAAAGUGAGUGACAAGGUGAUGGGAAAAUGUGGAAAUGAGAGUGGGAAUGUGGAUGUAGGUUAUCUCUUAUUAAAAAUAAUAUUUGAUUAAAAAUCACUAGAGAAAAACAUAUGUCGGCCACUGAGUGGUAUAUAAAGUAAUAAAAUAAAGGUGAGAAUUUACAAAUGAUCCAUUAGUAGAAAACAAACAAUAAAAAAAACCAAAAAUACAAACACAAGUCCUGGGAUAGUAUAGCCAAAAUUCUGUGAUGACCCCCAAGAUUACUGACUUAUAUAAUAUAUAUCAUAUUUUAUAAUAUAUAUCAUAACUUAUAUAAUUCAUUCCCCUUGAGCAUGGAAAGGCCUGUGAAUAUAUUGGGGUAGUCACUCCUUGAUUAGGUUAUAUUUGAUAAGGUUCCAUUUUAGCCAGCUGGAUGGAGAAAUUCCUAGUGAGAGAGAUGCCCUCAUGCUUGUCUGGAAGAAGUAAAUACCCACAUUGUGAAAUGCCUAUGAAAAGGGGUAACCUUCAAAAGCUGAGCACCUUAGUCCUACAACCCCAAGGAACUGAAUUCUGCCAACAACUAAUGAACUUAGAAGAGGCCCCCAAAGUCUCAGAUGAGAUCACAGCCUGAGCUAACACCUUGAUUGCAGUCUGUUGAGACUCGAGCAUAACACCCAGUAACUGUGCCUGAACUCUUUACUCAUAAAAACUGUCAGAUCAUAAAUUUCUGUUGUCUAAAGCCACUAAGUUAGUGAUAAUUUGUGACACAGCAAUAGAAAACUAAUAGAGUAUGAUUCUACUUAUACUGUAAAAAAAAAAAAAAAAAAA